GACUUAUUGCAGACAUACGAUAAAAUUGAAACGAUACAGAGAAAAUUAGCAUGGCCCCUGCGCAAGGAUGACACGCACAAAUGGAGAAAUGGUUCACAAAUCUUU
rnacentral:snRNA from 1 species